rnacentral:tRNA from 1 species
GGAGAGGUGGCCGAGUGGCUGAAGGCACAGGUUUGCUAAAUCUGCGUACGGGAAACCGUACCGAGGGUUCGAAUCCCUCCCUCUCCGCCA